AGCAGGUGUGGAGCAUAGCUAGCUGGCCGUGGGGUCUGCUGGACUCCGAGAUGACUGAGCGUGGGGUGACAACCCCUUUGUAGCCAGAUGCUGUUUCUUCUGAGGGGAGGAAUAGGCUGCCUCAGGUCUCAGAUACCCAGGCAUAUAGGUAACAGAGAAACAGGACACCCUAUGGAGAAGUUCCUUAAGGAAGAACACCUCCAGGGACAGAGCACACUGGGGCUGAGGCGACCCCUGUGAAAGGUUCAUUCAACAACCUCCCUACCAAGGGCUUGAGACCCACACGGUGAGACCCACACGGUGAGGCCCACACGGUGAGGCCCACACGGUGAGAACCACAUGGUGAGACCCACACGGUGAGACCCACACGGUGAGACCCACACGGUGAGACCCACACGGUGAGAACCACUGCUGUAAGGCGCCUUGUGAAGAAGGGAGAGAAGAGCCGUUGAUUAGUGCAUCUGACUAGGGACUUGCAUUUUGAACAUGUAAAAGCCAGUAAUCCAAAGACAGGUAAUUUAAACCUAGGAAGGGACUUGACAGGUGUUUUUCCAAAGAGAUGUACACAUGUAAGAAGCCAGCAGGUACAAGCAAUUGUACACACGGUUAGCCAUGAGGGGCUGCUGUGAGACAACUGUGUCAAAGUCUAUUCCACAAACACGUGGACGGCUUCAGCCACAAGCCUCACAUGCUGCUUGUGGGAGCACAAUAUAGAGACAUUUUGCACAGAUGACAGUUCUUCCAAAGGCCAAGCACAAGAGUCACCGACCCAAAGACGCUCUUGAGAGAAAUGAGCA
ensembl:processed_transcript Gm13562 predicted gene 13562